rnacentral:rRNA from 1 species
UACAGAGGGUGCAAGCGUUGCUCGGAAUUAUUGGGCGUAAAGGGCAGGUAGGUGGUCUUAUUUGUCUAGGGUGAAAUCCCUGAGCUUAACUCAGGAAGUGCCCUAGAAACGGUAAGACUCGAGUACUGGAGAGGGUCGUGGAAUUCCCGGUGUAGCGGUGAAAUGCGUAGAGAUCGGGAGGAACACCAGAGGCGAAGGCGGCGACCUGGACAGUGACUGACACUCAACUGCGAAAGCGUGGGGAGCAAACAGG